ACCUGUUAGUAAGAACACAGAACAAUGAAUGUCAGAGCGGGGAGGGACCUUCAAUAAAUGAACAUGAAAAGGACCUCAGAAAAACAAG
rnacentral:lncRNA from 1 species